rnacentral:rRNA from 1 species
UACGGAGGGUGCAAACGUUGCUCGGAAUCAUUGGGCGUAAAGCGCACGUAGGCGGUUCGUUAAGUCGGAUGUGAAAGCCCUCGGCUCAACCGAGGAAGUGCAUACGAAACUGGCGAACUUGAAUAUGGAAGAGGGUCGCGGAAUUCCCGGUGUAGAGGUGAAAUUCGUAGAUAUCGGGAGGAACACCAGUGGCGAAGGCGGCGACCUGGACGGACACUGACGCUGAGACGCGAAAGCGUGGGGAGCGAACAGG